UUCUUCAGGUUGUGGGUGAAGAAGAACUUGGGCAGGAUGUGCUUUGUUCUAUCUCCCUUGAUGUAUCCAUCUUUGAGCUGAGCUAUGUAAGCUGCAUUGUCCUCAUAGAUAAUCAUUGGCUCUUCCUUUUCAUUUCUCACGGCCAGACCACUCUCUUUUAGGACGUGGCCGGUCAUGUUCCUCAACCAAACAAGCUCUCGGCUUGCUUCAUACAUGGCUAUGAUCUCGGCAUGAUUAAAGGAUGUGGGCACUAAGGUUUAUUUUGUGGACCGCCAACAUAUUGCAGCCCCACUGUGCAUAAACACAUAGCCUGUCUGAGAUCUAGCAUGAUGUGGGUCAGAUAAGUACCCAGCGUCUGCAUAUCCGGCCAAACUCUCUCCUGGCCGGCCGGUAUAGAACAACCCGAGGUCCUUUGUUCCUUGCAGAUAUCUGAACAGAUGUUUUAUUCCGUUCCAGUGCCUAAGAGUCGGAUAUGAACUGAAUCUAGACAGUAAACUCACGGCAAAAUUAAUGUGCGGUCUAGUAUGACUAGCCAAAUACAUUAAGGCUCCAAUGGCACUUAAGUAAGGCACUUCCGGCCCGAGUGUCUCCUAGUCCGGCUUCUUAGGUCUGAAUGGAUCCUUCUCUAGGUCUAAGGACCUCACGACCAUAGGGCUCGACAAGGGAUGAGCCUGAUCCAUAUUAAAUUUCUUGAGUAUCUUUUCUGUAUAUGUCUUUUGAUGCACAAGGAUUCCUUUCUCUACAUACUCAAAUUGCAGUCCUAAACAGAACUUAGUUUUCCCUAGGUUCUUUAGACAUUCGACCGUUUGGGAAAUCUCUCCAGAGGUUCCUACGAUAUUCAGGUCGUCCACAUAGACCGACAUUAUCACAAAGCCCUUGCUGUGGAAUUUCUUUAUAAAGAUACAUGGACGUAUUGGAUCGUUCUUAUAACCCUCUUUCACUAGGUACUCUGAUAAUCUGUUGUACCACAUUCGACCUGAUUGUUUCAAACCAUAUAAGGCUUUAUUCAGCUUAAUACAAUGCUGUUCUCGAGAACCUUUCUUAUCUUUGAGCUCAAUACCCUCUGGAACUCUCAUAUUAAUUUCAUUAUCCAGUGGACCAUAUAAAUAUGCAGUCACUACAUCCAUUAGGCGUAAAUCUAUCUUCUCUUUUACGGCCAGACUGAUUAGGUAUCUCAAUGUAGUUGCAUCCACCACAGGGGAGUAAGUCUCCUCAUAAUCUAUUCCUGGUCUCUGUGAGAAUCCUUGUUGUAACAUCCUGGAUCCUGAAUAGGAUCAUUGGGACGGCCAUGGUUCGAGGAAACGUACUAGCCAGUCUUAAGACAUCAAGGCAAUCGUUCCAUGGCCGGAUAAGAAGGUUAAGGACGUAAUGAAACUUAGACUUAACCUUACACAAGUCGAGAGUCAGCUAGACCGAGCAAGAGGGUGGCUGGACGAUUGGAACGGGAAGCUCGACCAGCUCAACGGAGUUAGGUUAAGCUCAAUCCAGCUCGGACACUACAAGGUCAGCUCCACUAGCUGGACUACUAGCUCACUCAGCUGGGGGUCAGCUCAUCUCAGCUGAACGGUCCGUUCGGGUUCCGGUCCGAUGGUCCAGGUCCGGGCUGGUGGCAGGCCAUGGGGGUCCAGCCAUGAGGUCAUGGACCGUUGGGGCUUGGGACAAGGCCGUGGGCUAAGUCCAGAGGAGUUGGGUAAGGGUUUGGGCCUCUGUCCAACCCAAACCCAUGCGGUAUUGGCGAAGGGACGCAUGCGGCCGAGAGGGUGUAACCCUUGGCCGAUUGUGCCCAUCCGCUGGCCAGUCAUGCCUGUUCGUGGGGAAAGACUUACCCCCUCGUUUUCUAUAAAUAUGGGGUCCUCUCUGUCGAUUUCAAUCAUCCAAUCCAGAGUAAAAUACUCAGAUAAAUCAUAGAGAGAGAAAGAAAGAAAGAAAGAGUUUCCGGCCAAAGCAAGGACGAUUGUGUGGUGGUUAGGUUUCCGGCGAUCUGAUCGUUUGUGAAGCAACCUCCGAUCAAGUAUGGGAGACCGAGAGCAGGAGAAGAGCAUGGAGAACCCUGACCUGGUUCAGAAGGUACGUGGUGGGCUUUGGCCGCAUCAGUCCGAACGGACGGUCCUUGUCAUUGCACCGCGGCUCUGGACGGUUCAUUAAACCCGGCCGCUUCUCCUCUUCUUGUUUCUAUCCGGUCCUUUCUCUUCUUUCUGAUUAUGCACGAAGUGUUGUGUUGGUUCAGUCCAAGGGAUACGUUCCUAGACUUGGCCGGACAUAACCAAACCGCUAACCUAGACGCUGGUCGGUUAGACGGUCGGUUCGAAUUGCACCAUAGGCUGGGCGGUUGGGCUAAACAGUUGGGCAUGUCCCAAGAGGCACGAGUGGCCAAAGGUCACGAGUUACCAACGGUUGUGAGUUGCCAAACGGUGUAAGUAACCAAGGGUUACGAACGCCAAGUGGUACGAGCACCAAGGUUUACGAGGACCAAGAGGUACCAAAGGCCAAAGGUGCGUGUACCAAGCGGUGCCUGUUGAGGCAGGUCGUGUCCGUUCCUUAGGGAUCAGACCAUGUCUUGUCCGUUGAGGCAAGUACACGGUCCGUCCAGGCCAGGGUAAGAGUCGCAAAGUCCGAUCGGCCAUUGGCCUAACCGGAUUGGGCAUGAGGCUUACUCGGCCGUUGGAUCCAGGCCCAAGGCCGGUUCAGGUAAGGAAGUCCGUUGGGCCAUUGAGCCGGACAUCAUCUAGGCCGGUGGCACCUAGAUUCUAUCCGGAUGGACGGAUUGGUCUUCGGGACGAUCCGGGCUGUUCGUGUGUUCUGUUAUCUAUUCUGGACUGUCUAUCAAGUUCUAAGUUAAGGGGUGGUUGGUUGAAUGACUUAGGAUUCGGUAGGCAGGUUCAUAUCUUUUUAUAAGUAUAUUGUCUGAGGUUUAUCAAUGUUCUAGGAACCAAGCCAAGCAUUGUAGGAUCGACCAGUCCUAUUCUCGGUUAUGUUUAAUGCUUACCUGGUUGUGGUUUCAGGAACUAAGGAUGGUUCUGGCUGCGGGUUAUGUAGUCCACACACACGCAGCCAGCUGAUUCAGUCUCACGGUGAGGUUUGAUGGUUAGGUCUAGGGAUUAAUUGUCUUGGUUUAUGUUAUGUAUAUGUUUUACUAACAAUGUUUGAAUCCUUAGGCUGGGAAAAGCAAAUCGGGAAUGACCCGAAGGAGUAAGAAAACGGCUGGUCCGUCAAGUCAAGCGGCCGCGGACGGAUUUAAUCUGUCCGGGUUACCAACCGAGCCAGCUGCGACUAACACCGGUGAUGUGUUACCGACUGACCAGGCCAAUCUUAUGGGAACGCAACAAGAAGGUCAGUAACUCCAGGAGAGCGACGAGGAAGUGGAAUCUUCGAACGCUAACCGUGAUGGUGACCAGCGUGAGCAAAGGGCAGAGGGAACGGCCAACAUGGCUGCAGUACUGUCUCAAGAGGACUUGUUAGAGGCCAUGAAAGUAAUGGGUAAUCAGGUGGCGGCUAUGACUCAGCUGUUCACUCCACUGGUGAAUUCAUCAGUUGGUCAAGCUACACCUGUAGCUACGGCUACACCUAUUGCUACGGGUCCAACUGUGGACGCGGUUGAGGUGAUCGAGAUCGAUCCACCGGAAGGGUCUGUAAAGAAGGUGGACUAUCUGAGUUUGCUUCAACAUCUAUCCAGAUUGGGUACAAAGCAAUUCUCAGGUAGCACCGACCCGGUUGUGGCAGAUGAGUGGAGGAGUAGGCUAGUCCGAAACUUUCAAUCAACUUGCUGUCCAAAGGAUUACAGACGAGACAUUGCGGUUCACUUCCUGGAAGGGGACGCGCAUAAUUGGUGGCUUGCAGUGGACGAGCGCACCAAUGGAGGUCUCACAAGUUUUGCGGACUUUGAAAUUGAAUUCAACCGCAAAUACUUUCCUGCUGAGGCUUGGGAUCGUCUGGAAGCUAAGUUUCUAGAUCUGGUCCAAGGCCGCAGGACCGUACGGGAGUACGAAGAAGAGUUCAACCGACUCAGACGGUUUGUUGGAAGAGAGCUGGAGGACGAAGCAGUCCAGGUCUGUAGGUUCAUCCGAGGCCUAAGGCCGGAACUGAAGACCCACUGCUCGAUCCGCACUUUCGACACCGUCGGAGAACUGGUGGAACGGGUGGCUUUGUUGGAGUCUAACUUGGCUGAGGAAGCUAAGCUUAAGGCUAAGCCACAGUCUGGCCCAUUGGGCAAGACUAAUGAUAAAAAGAGAAAAUGGGACCAGCUGGACAGAGGUAAGACCUCUGGUGGCCGACCUGCGUGUUCCAAAUGUGGACGGAACCAUCCCGGUGAGUGCUGGAAGGCCAAGGGGGCAUGUGUUCGUUGUGGCAGCAUGGACCAUGGGGUUCAGAACUGUCCUCGACCGAACCAGUCUGGUAGAAGCGGCCAGAUGACAUGUUUCCAUUGUGGCCAGCAAGGACAUUUCCAAUCGGAGUGUCCCAAGCUGCAAGGAAGUCAGGGGAAGGGCCGUGGAGAUUCAGGAAAGGCGUCCCAAGGCAAACCAACCACAACACCACGGGUGUAUGAACUGUCACGAGAAGACGGAGCUUCCGGAUCCUUUGAUUCGAUCUCUGGUAAUUUCUAAAUUUAUCUUUUUACAUUCAAGUAGUAUUGCUCGGUUUAGAACCUAGAAUGUGGUCUAGGGGAUUCUGAUGGGGGUCUCUUAUAGAAACCCUCAUGGUCGGUGGGGUAAAAACCCACGUGCUUUUCGACACAGUGGCUACACAUAGUUUUGUGAGUCCGGGACUGGUCGGAAAGGGUCUGUUCUGUCUGGAUGCUGGUGAUAAUUUUGGGAUAGUGAGGGCGGCCGGUGGGCAAGCCAUGAACUCACUAGGUCUCAUGUCGAAUAUCCCAGUACAGAUCCAGGGAAAGGUCUUCCCUGUAAAUCUGGUCUGUGUCCACCUAAAGAAUCAAGAAGUGAUCUUAGGUAUGGAUUGGUUGGGAAAGUACCGAGCCACUCUCGAUUGCCAUAAGGGUCGUGUGCAAUUGGAGAAUGAACUUCACCCGGUAGAGUACCAAGGGUUGUGUUGGUUCAGUCCAAGGGAUACGUUCCUAGACUUGGCUGGACAUAACCAAACCGCUAACCUAGACGCUGGUCGGUUAGACGGUCGGUUCGAAUUGCACCAUAGGCUGGGCGGUUGGGCUAAACAGUUGGGCAUGUCCCAAGAGGCACGAGUGGCCAAAGGUCACGAGUUACCAACGGUUGUGAGUUGCCAAACGGUGUAAGUAACCAAGGGUUACGAACGCCAAGUGGUACGAGCACCAAGGGUUACGAGGACCAAGAGGUACCAAAGGCCAAAGGGGUGCGUGUACCAAGCGGUGCCUGUUGAGGCAGGUCGUGUCCGUUCCUUAGGGAUCAGACCAUGUCUUGUCCGUUGAGGCAAGUACACGGUCCGUCCAGGCCAGGGUAAGAGUCGCAAAGUCCGAUCGGCCAUUGGCCUAACCGGAUUGGGCGUGAGGCUUACUCGGCCGUUGGAUCCAGGCCCAAGGCCGGUUCAGGUAAGGAAGUCCGUUGGGCCAUUGAGCCGGAUAUCAUCUAGGCCGGUGGCACCUAGAUUCUAUCCGGAUGGACGGAUUGGUCUUCGGGACGAUCCGGGCUGUUCGUGUGUUCUGUUAUCUAUUCUGGACUGUCUAUCAAGUUCUAAGUUAAGGGGUGGUUGGUUGAAUGACUUAGGAUUCGGUAGGCAGGUUCAUAUCUUUUUAUAAGUAUAUUGUCUGAGGUUUAUCAAUGUUCUAGGAACCAAGCCAAGCAUUGUAGGAUCGACCAGUCCUAUUCUCGGUUAUGUUUAAUGCUUACCUGGUUGUGGUUUCAGGAACUAAGGAUGUCUCUUGUCAAGCCAAGGAGCCGUGAAGGCUCGGUCAGUGAGAGGCUGUGUAACGUGUGGGUAGAUGAUGCUAGGGACGAACUAGUGAUUGUCUAUGAAACUGUUAAGAAGUUGUGUAUUGGAUCUCAUGUUUCUAAGUAAUACAUUGGUUUACACAUUAUAUUCCGCUGUGCUAUCUGGUUCAUUGUUUUAGAACCUCUGAUUCAAACAUGACUUAGUAAAUGAAAGACUUAAAAUGAAUCAAACAAGCAAAUAAAUUGAUUAAGUAGCAAACGGGUUCAGUCUUGUCGGGAGGCCAGAUUCGGGCAUUAGAAGUUGGUAUCAGAGCAUGCUUGAUUCUAGGAUAGUUGGGUUAUGUAGUCCACACACACGCAGCAAGCUGAUUCAGUCUCACGGUGAGGUUUGAUAGUUAGGUCUAGGGAUUAAUUGUCUCGGUUUAUGUUAUGUAUAUGUUUUACUAACAAUGUCUGAAUCCUUAGGCUGGGAAAAGCAAAUCGGGAAAGACCCGAAGGAGUAAGAAAACGGCUGGUCCGUCAAGUCAAGCGGUCGCGGACGGAUUUAAUCUGUCCGGGUUACCAACCGAGCCAGCGGCGACUAACACCGGUGAUGUGUUACCGACUGACCAGGCCAAUCUUAUGGGAACGCAACAAGAAGGUCAGCAACUCCAGGAGAGCGACGAGGAAGUGGAAUUUUCGAACGCUAACCGUGAUGGUGACCAGCGUGAGCAAAGGGCAGAGGGAACGGCCAACAUGGCUGCAGUACUGUCCCGAGAGGACUUGUUAGAGGCCAUGAAAGUAAUGGGUAAUCAGGUGGCGGCUAUGACUCAGCUGUUCACUCCACUGGUGAAUUCAUCAGUUGGUCAAGCUACACCUGUAGCUACGGCUACACCUAUUGCUACGGGUCCAACUGUGGACGCGGUUGAGGUGAUCAAGNNNNNNNNNNNNNNNNNNNNNNNNNNNNNNNNNNNNNNNNNNNNNNNNNNNNNNNNNNNNNNNNNNNNNNNNNNNNNNNNNNNNNNNNNNNNNNNNNNNNGUUAGAUAACUAGGGAACAUGAAGCUAUGUUUAAGAAAGUGGAAAAUUUUUUGACAUCCAAAAGUAACCCGUCAAGUAUUCUGGUUGAACCUUGAUUCGCUGCAAUUGCCUAGGCAUCUAUCCAUGUGGUUCUAGCCGAAUUCAAGUAGCAGUCAGAAGAUUUGUUUGGAGAAAGGUUUCGUUCGACUUAGUUAUUUUCUGUGGAGUGUACCCAUGUCAGUGGUAAAGAAGAAGAGCCAGAGUUUGCGGUUAUGUUCGAGUAUAAAAUCAAGGACGUGACCAUCAGGGUCAAGUAUCAAGUUCUAGAAUUGAAGAAUGGUUAAGAUCGGUCGCAAGGCGCAGUUUUAUUCCAAGGACGUUUGAUGGACGCUUCACGUUGUAGUAAAUAUUUCUGCACGGAAAUUGGAAGUUAGAUCCCUUAGUCAGUAAAUGGAACAAGGAGUUGUUGCAAAUAUACAAAAGAUCGCUACUACUACAUAAUGGUCGUACUCAAUUUAAGUUAUCGAGAUUCGAAGUUCUGUGGAUUGGCCGGUUACCAUCAGAAGUUUGUUCAAGAGUUAGAAACCAUAUCCACCAAUGAGUUGAUCGACUGAGAAUGGUGUUACCUUGGAAUGGAGUAAAAGUAUUGAUGAAGUAUGAAAUUAGUUAGAGGAAGUAUCUACGUCUAUGCAUAUCUUAGACUUGCAUGAGCCUAACCAGCCAUAUUCUACUACAUGGAUGUAUUAUGUGUUGGUCUAGGUGAAUGCUAAUGCAAGACGAUAUGGUAAUCGUAUAUGCAUCAAGGGAGCUAAGGAAGCAUAAGGAAAACUAUUUGAUGCACAAGUUGGAGUUGUGGCAGUUCUGUUGCACAUCAAAUUUAGUGAUCAUUUCAAAAUGGAGAAAGGAUGCAAGUUUUCACUGAUCAAAGAAGCCUAAGGAAGAGCAAAUAUUGAUGCUUAUGCUUUAAGAGGAAGUGAUAUUAAUGAUGAUAUUGGAGUAGGAUCUCAAGAAUCAGAAUCAAUUGCAAGUAGAAAAUCAAGAUUUAUUUUGCUGCCUUAAUAAGGAGAGAAGAGAACCUUCAAGAUUGCAAGUAGAAAAUCAAGAGGGCUUAUUCAUUCGUAUUUGAGGAACUCAGUUGAAGGAUGAGAAUCUAAGGAAUUCAUAGAAGGAACUGGGUGAAGAGAAUUUCGAAGAAUAGUAUGAGACUGUGUCAUGUACAAGUUCAUAAAGUGGAGAUGUGGGAGAAGGAACCCAAAUUCAACCUAAAUUAAGCAGAUGUUGAGGAAAUCCCAAGGAGAUUGAGAGUGCAAGGAAAAAGGUAGAACCAUAGACAUAUGGAAUGCUCAAGUUGUUAAGAGAUCAGAAGAUGUAUUAACAGAGAAAGUGUGAAGUCAUCAUACAAGAGUACUUCGUUGGUAAAUCAAGUUUGGUAUAGGCGGACUUGUAAUUCCUCAGUUACUAGACAGAAGAAGGAAAUCAGAAAGUAAUAGAAGACUUGGAUAUGCGAAACUUCAGUGAGAUUGAGUCGUUCAGAAGUUUUUGAAGAGUAUCUCAGAUAGAUAAAAAGGGUAUGGAAUACUGUAAGGAAAUCAUUCCUGGAAUAGUGUGUGUGUGUGUAUUUGAGAGUGGCAACCCUUGGUCUGGAAUCAUGUUAGCGUGAUUGAUCGUGCAUGUUCUUGGUUUGAUUGUUGCACGUUAAUCAAGUUGACAUUGACCAGACUGAAGAUGUUACCUUCAUGUAUGGCACAUCACCCGACAUUCCAUAUUUCCAUGUUAUUGAACGGAGGAAAGCAGAUAGAAAGGUUUCAGAAGUAAUGGGUGUUCAGAGAUUCAACGAUGUCAAAGGAAGUAUGUAGACCACAGUAUAUGAAAGUUAUGCACGUGAGAAUUGGUUAUCGUGAAAGUGUUUGCUCAGAAAGAAAGAAUUGUUUUAGAAAAGUUGUUGAAAUCUGCAAAUCUGUUAUUUAGUAUGUACCGAGUUGUUCCGAGUUGAAAUGGUUAUCUGUUGACCGGAACUUCUUUUAGUUAUGCUAUUGUGAGCCGAUUUUGCGUAAUCUUAUAUCAGACCCAGUAUGAUAGAACUGCUGAGACCAGAAAACUUGUAACCCUAUUUAGCCUAUCCUAAGAUCCUUUGCGGAUAGGUGAGCACCAUAUCAGAAGAUUGGAGAAAAGGAAAAAUUUGUAAAAGUUCAAGUAUUUUGGGACCAUCAGUUGUUUUGACACGGGCAGAUGAGGAUAAGUUCAGAGUUGGUUAUCUUAAACUUCUUGCAGAGACUCCAGUGUUCAUUAAAAGUCUGUACAGCUAUGUUUUGAGAAUUCGGGGACGAAUUCUUUUAAGGGGGGGAAGAAUGUAAUAACCUCACGAGCCAGUUAAUUUUUGGUCGAGAAAACUCCGCUCGACCAGUUUGAGUUGGUCAUCAGUUUAAAAAUAAUCGACCCGGUGAAUUAAUACCUCGACGGGACUGUCUUGUGGUCGAAAGGCCUCUCAUUGAUAGUUCUGGUAGAGUGUUAAUAAUGUUGGUCGAAUUUUAGUUAAGCUAGGCAAGCUUAGUUGAAAGCAAAAUGAGAUUCGAAGGAUGAGAAAUUUAGUCGAAACUGUCCGAAAUUGUCGUUAAGUUUCUUAACUAAAUUCCGACCAGUCUAAUACCUUCACCAGCUAUUCUUCUUGCUUUCUAAGUAAAUCAGUCACAUGAGCUGCACUACCUGCUUGCUUGCUUCACUAAAGUCACAUGAAAGUCACAAGCUGGUUGCUUGUUUAAUAAAAAUAAAAUAAUCUUUUUCAAAGGAGGGAAAGGACAGCAACUUGCUUUGUUAAGUAAACCCUCACCUGAAGCACUUCUUAUGGUUAUAAAACACCAUCUUCUCUCCUCUGGACGUUCAAACCUGCAAAAGAAAACCAAGAAAAAUUCAGAGAGAAAGAGAGAAAGAAAGAGAAAAAUUGUGAGAAAAACUAGUUGAAAUAUUCAGAAAAAAAUUCAGAGAAGAGAAUUGAGCAUGGACAAACCUUUCUCACAUCCUGUGACUUGAUCCAGUGUGUUCUGGUGUGGUUAAGAGCUGAAGGUUUGGUGUCCAAGAGUUUAGAAUCACCCAUGUUCUUCAGCCUUUGAUUUUGAUCGGUAAGAUGGUGUGUGAUCAGUUCUGUGUAGAAGUUUUGUUGGUUGCCUACACUGGAGAUAAAUUCUGAAUAAAUCCAACCAUGGAUUCUUUUGGUGUUGAUCAGGUUAAUUUGAGGUUAGCUUGAAGAGAGACAACCAGUCAAGUUUAAUUAGUUGAGUAAAACGGUAGCUUAAGCUCUUCUUGAUCAGCCAUGUUUUGAUGAGAACCAAUUGCUGUAUGUGGUUAACCUGUCAGGAUCAGUUGUCUAAGGUCUUGUUCUCUUCAGUCUUGGUUGGUUUAUGAUUUAAUCGGUCUCAUAGAACCAGUAGACGAACUGAUAAGAAUUAUGGGGAUUAAACCAAACUGAUUUGAUCUUGUUUAGAACUGAAUUGAGCUGAGUAUGUUCUGAUCUGAUCUGAGCCGAACUGUCUAUGGUCUGAAAUUGUCUUGAACUGAUGUCAUCUAAGUAUAACCGAGUUAAGCUGUUGGGAACUGAUUAGAACCGGAGUUAGCUGAGCAUGAACUAAGCUGAUAUGAACCGAGUUAAAUUGUUAAAGCUUGAACCGAGCUGAACAUGGUAUCAAUCUGUCUUGAACCGAACUGAUAUGAGAGAACUGAACUGAAAUGUUAUGAACUGAAUUGAGUUUCUUCUUGAACCAGACUAGUGAACCUUAUGUUCCAACUGUUAUGUUUUGAAUUCAGAUGGCCAAGGAGAGUAUUCGGAUCAGCCGAUCCUUGUGAUGGUUCUGAACCGAGAGUUAUCCAGAGUGAAGUGUGAUUAGCUUGAGCUCGAGUCUAGUCUUCCUUAGCAAUCUCAUGGAUUUAAAGGUGAGUCUAGAUAGAUGAUGAAUGAAUUAUGAAGAAGUAUGCAUGAUUGCAUAUUGAAUAUGGUUGAUUAAUUGAGAAUUAAUCAUGAAUUAAUUAAGGGAUAAUCAUUGAUUAAUUAAGGAUUAAUCAUGAAUUAAUUAAAAGAUAAUCCUUGAUUAAUUAAUGAUUAAUCAUGAAUUAAUUAAGGAGUAAUUAUGUUGAUUGAUUAAGUAUUUUCCCUUGAUCUAUAUUUAUAUCUGAAGUAUUUAUCUAAUUAAUAAGAAUAAUUCUUUGAGGUUAUCCCGAGCCUUAGUACUUGUUCUCAAGUACUAAUCUAUAAGUAUUCUAUUAAUAAGUGUGAAUCAUGUGAAGUCUUAUUGUAUACUCACUCUCCCGAAAGUCCCGCAUUACCGUGAAUUGGUCCUGCGAUAUGGAUCAAGGUCAUGAAGACACGAUGAUGGGGUCGCACCCUGGAGGCCGUGUAACUGCAUGCAGCGUUGGAUGUUCUAUCUUGGAAUAUCUAAUGGAUGAUUUUUAUAUUUAUUCCCCGUUAGCUCGGUUAGCCUUGGUGGUUUUUCGGGGUUUAGCAUAUAUAUAUAUUAAGAGUGAGUGAUUGGCGGGUAUCGUGGAGGUGAUGUUUAAGAUAGAUUCACAUGGAUGGAUUGAGAGGCCUUAUAAUAAUAUUAAUUAUGGAAUAUAAUUCCACUGCAUUCAAAUGGUGUCGCUUGCUCGGGAUACUAUUGAUAUGUGUUUGGGUGUGGGAUUAGACUCACUGAGUAAACUCGUUACUCAUGACUCAUUUGAUAUGCAGGUAACCAGUAGGUGGGAGACCUUUACUCUAGGACGGGAAGGAACGGCAUUAGCCAGCGGUAGUUUUAUUAUCCUUGCAGUCGUUUUGAUAUACUUUGUAUAAGGUUUGUUUGACCAAACCUCGAGGUUAAUCUAUAAAGAUUUUGUAAGAUUCUUUUUAAUGAAUAAGUAUAUAGUGUAUAAAAUGUUUUUAAAGUACGGUUCCAAAUGAUAUUAGUCCUUGUCCGGACGAACCAACUAUUUGGUAUUACUCUUAAGGUUGUAAAGCCUCGGGUUGUACCUAAUAGGAUAUGUGUACUUAGGCGGUUGGCCUAAGGUACCUGGAUUUAUUUCGGGAACUUCGGGUUAGUCGUUUAUAUACACAUUGUGGCUUCUCGGUUUGGUUUCAGUUACGAGUGAUCGGCUGUGCAUGUUCUUGUUUGAUUGUUGCACGGCUGGUCGAGUCAACUUAUACUUAGACCAGAUCGGGGGUGUCACACCUUCGGUCCUUGGUACCUCUUGGUCCUCGUACCUCUUGAUGUUCGUAACCCUUGGUUACUUACAUCCUUUGGCAACUCACAACCUUUGGAACUCAUGACCUUUGGUUAACUCACAACCCUUGGUAACUCGUGACCUUUGGCCACUCGUGCCUCUUGGGACAUGACCAACCGUUUAGCCAACCGCCCAGUUUAUGGUGCGAUUCGAACCGACCGUCUAACCGACCAGCAUCUAGGUUAGCGGUUUGGUUAUGACCGGCCAAGUCUAGGGACGUGUCCCUUGGACAGCCACGGACGUCCUGUGGUUUGGAUUGUCCUAGGACUCUGACUUAGCAUGCGUCCAUCAUGUGGAAUGGACAUGCACCCUAUGCCUGAGCGGGGUGAAGCCAGAGGAAACUCUGGUGGAGGCCCACGUUAGGUUGACAGCAUACUAACGUUUGGAGAUGUCUCAACUUUUCUAUCAGUGGAAUGUCCCGCCAACAGUUGACGGGUACGGAACUGGGACCCCCGAGCCCAGCCCUCAGAGCCAAUCCUUUUCCCAAAGUUACGGAUCCAUUUUGCCGACUUCCUUGCCUACAUUGUUCCAUCGACCAGAGACUGUUCACCUUGGAGACCUGAUGCAGUUAUGAGUACGACCGGGCGUGAGCGGCACUCGGUCCUCCGGAUUUUCAAGGGCCGCCGGUGUAAUAACCCUCACGAGCAGAUAGAAUUUUGGUAGAGAAAAUUCUUCAAGAUCAGUUUGAAGAUUGAUCGAUCAGAAUUUAAAUAAAAAUAGACACGGUGAAUUAACCUCUCGACGGGCUGUCUUUUGGUCGAAAAACCAUCUCUUGAUGAUUCUGGUAGAGUGUUAAUUAUUAUUGUCGAUUUUUAUUCAUGCUAGGCGAGUUUAUUCAGAGCAGCACGAGAUUCGAAUGAUGAAAAAUAUUUAGUCGAAACAGUCCGAAAAAUAUCGACACUCUUAAAAUUAUUUCUGAACAGUCACAUGCCUUGCACCUUGUAGCCUACUUGCUUUCUCAGUAAUUAGGUCACAUGACAUGCACCUACUUGUUUACCUGCUUGCUUAUUAGAAGUAACAUGCUGGUCACAAGCUGUUUGCUUCAGCUGCUUGCAGCUUUCUUCUUGUAAGGGAAAGGUGAGCUGCUUGUGCUGAAGCUGGUUGCCACAUGUUUCUCCAAACUACCACUUUGUGUAAAAAGAAAACCCUGAGCUGAAGCAACCCCAUAUGGUGUAAGGCAUCUUCUUCUCUCCUCUGGACGUCCUGUUACUGCAAGAAAAACCAGAGAAAUUCAGGAGAAAGAGAGAAAGAAAAGAGAAAAAUCUGUGAGAAAAUUUAUGAAAAAUUCAAAAAAAAUCAGGGAAGAGAAGUGAGCUUGGACGACCCUUUCUCACCAUCCUGUGACUUUAAUCAGUGUGUGUUCUGGUGUGGUUAAGAGCUGAAGGUUUGGUGUUCAAGAGUUUAGAAUCACCCAAGUUCUUUAGCCUUGGAUUUUAUCGGUAAGAACAUAUGGGUUUGAUGAGAUCAGUUUUGCUUGAGCUUCAGUUCUUGUUAGGUAACCAAACGAUUUGGUCUGUUUCUGAUCUUGAACCUAUCAUGGGUAUCUUGUCCUGAUCAGGUUAGACGUGUGUUCAGAUUGAAGUUUAUAUCAACCAAGUUCAUCUUAAAGCUUGAGGAAAUCGGUAAGCCAUAGCUACUAGUUCAGAGAAGUUUUGUUUGGAACAAGUGGAAUGAUUUGUUAAGCUUCUUGUCCAGAUUAGUUUUUAAACCUGUAUGUGGAUUGAUCUUGGUUCAGUUAUGUCCCUUAGAUAUUUUGUAAAGGCUUAGCUGAACUGAAUUAUCUAUUAACCGAACUGAACUGCUUUGAACUAAGCUGAGUAGAGUUUCUGUUGGAAUCAACCUGACUGAUCUUGUAUCCACACAUUCUGAAUCAGGAGUGAAAUGGAGUGUUAUUAGUUGAGCUCGAGUCUAGUCUUCCCUAGCCAAUCUCAUGGAAUCAAAGGUGAGUCUAGAUAGAUGAUUGAUGAGUAGUGAAUGAAUAUUUCUUGAUUGAACGUACUGAUUGUAGAUGAUGGAUAGGCUUUGUCUCUUGAUCAAUAUUGAAUUGGUAAGGUGUUUACUUAGUGAAAACACUUAUUAAAUAUUUAUGAAUGACUUAUUAAAUAUUUAUGAAUGAUCAUUGAGGUUUAUUCCAAACCAUAGUACUUGUUCUCAAGUACUAAUACAUAUGUAUAGUAUUAAAUAUAAUUAAGUAUGGAAGUAUUAAUCACGUGAAGUCUUAUUAUAAACCAGUCUCCCAAAAUAUUCCCGUAUGAAUGAUGAUUACCGUGAAUUGGUCCUGCGAUAUGGAACAAGGUCACGAAGUCAUGAUGAUGGGGUCGCACCCUGGAGGCCGUGUAACUGCAUGCAGCGUUAGAUGUUUAAUUUUUGAAUAUCUGAUGGCAAUGAUGGUGAUUCUAACUUACUAGACUCGUUUAGCCUUUGUCGUUUCUCGGGUCUGGUAUAUAUAUAUAUAUAUAAAUAUGAUUAUAUGAAUGAUAUGAGAGACGGGAAUAGGAAGUGAGGUAUAUGAUUAGAUUCACAAUGAUGAAGAAUAUUCCUUAUAUAUAAAUAUCCAGAUAUGGAAUAUAUUUCCACUGCAUACAAAUGAAGUUGAUUGUUUGAGAUAUUAUUAAUAUAUUUUGGGGUGCGGGACUAGGCUCACUGAGUAAACUAGUUACUCAUGACUCAUUUGUGAUGCAGGUAACCAAUAGGCGGGAGACCUUACUCUAGGACUGUAAGGAACAACAUUAGCCAGCGGUAGUUUUAUUAUCCUUGCAAAGUCAUUUUGAUAUAUCUUAUGUAUAAGAUUUGUUGACCGAAAACCUCGAGGUUAAUUUAUAACAAAUUUUGUAAGAUGCCUUUGAUUGAUAUAUAAAGAAUGUUUUUUCUAAAGUACGGGUUCCAUAUGAUAUUAGUCCUUGUCCGGACGAACUAACUAUUAGGUAUUGCUUUGUCGGGUUGAAAAGCCUAGAGUUAUAUCCGAUAGGAGCGUUACUGUUCUUUGGUUGUUGGUCUAAGGCGAUCAGAAGUAUUAUGAGAACCUCAGAUCGACAAUCGAGGAACAUCGACCGUGUCAUUUUCGGUCAUCUACGAUCGGGGGUGUCACAAAGGUGGUAUCAGAGCAUGGUUAUUCGAUGCUAGAGUGGGACUUGUUUCAAAUGUUUUUCGAGUCAAAAUGAGUCGCAAGGAUAACUAGGAUAUGCUGGAUUGUUCCUUCAGUUUAGGAUAGAUAGUCAUGGGUAGUUACCUAACAGUGAUAUUUCAUAGUAGAAGCACCGAGACAAGCUUGAACGGGUGGACCGUACUUACCGAUGUUAGUAUCAUUAGGCUCGAGUUUGCUACCUCAUGUUGGGGUUCACUACCGCCCUGUUAAGAGUCAGUAACGUCAUGCCUUCCUGUCGUUCUUUUGAAUUCUAGUGGGGGAUGCCAAUUCUUUAGAGAGAGAUAUGGGACAUAAUUGAUACAUCGAAUACAACUCCGGACUCGUGUGUUAUCGAUGUCAAGGUGGGGGUUGUUUAUGGUCCAAUUCAGAGUGAUGCGACUGCACAUGAUCACCUAGAUGCACUUAUUCUUCCAGCUUCUCAAGUCUCCAGCUUAUGCUGAGACGUACAAGAAACAGAGCCAUACAAGCCUGAAUUGUUCAACAUUUGUUUGGAGCUUAGCGUUGGAGGAAGAGAUGGUUCAACUGUAGUACAAGACGAUGGACACACAUGCACCUUUCUGUUGGCAACAAGACAUCUUAAAGCUUAUGAUGGAAAGAAGUAGUGGGACCAUAAGAUACUGAAGAAACACUAAACCGUUAGAGGUAUACUUUGGCUUGAGGCAGAUUUGGGAUGAAACACCCAGAGCAAAACAUUGACGUGGCCAAUGUUAAGAGAAUUACAUGAAGGAUUUGGUAGCAAGCUAUUUGGAGAUGAACGAGAUGAAUUGUUGGUCGAGAGUCAAGAAUUAGUUCAGAGAGGUGAGAUCGAGUUGGACAGAUCUCAAGAGUUCAUGAAGUACAAUUUUCUACAUAAGAUAUGGGACAGAUUGAAGAUUCAGUUUACGGAGUUGGUACAGUGGGAUGUUUCCGCCAGGAGGUUCAGGUUGAGUUAAUCAUAUACAACAAUUUCAGCAUCAAGAUAUGUGGUCGAGUGAAUUUCAUUCAUAGAUUAUGGUUUGGAGAAUAAGCCAAAGAUCAGAUUGAAAAUAUUUGGGAACUUAGCAAAGAAUUUUGUAGUAGAUAAAAGACCAUGGAGUCUCAGAGCUUCGAGGAGAUUUUAGAGUAUGACGCGAAUACUAAAGAAGUUAUUUCUGAAGAAGUUCACCAAAUUCUGCAGACCGUUUAAUUCCCAACCAGUGAAGAUCGAAGAUUAUUUUAAAUCAGUGGAUUAAGUCGCUGGGAUGAUUUCGGGUGUACGUUUCAUCAGAUCUAGAUCGAGGAGGCUGAGUUGUUAUGGUGGUGACAUGCCAGGACAGCAUAGUCGGGAUCGUCUAAGUGCGAGAAAUUCUUGAUUAUUUUCAUCAAUGCGCUUCAGUGAUUCCCUUGUGAAGAGUAAGGAUGAUUAUUUUACCCUUGCCCAUAAAGUUACCCAGUUCCUUUACCUAUACCUAGGGUACCAGUAGUUGGACUUGUUCACGCUUCCUUACCAUUAGUCUUGAUCCAAGUGUUAGGCUAUUUGGGUAGAGCCUACACUUUAUGGUUGUCUGGACCGUCAAAACCCCUGAAAGGUUCAAUCACAGGUUUGCUUCUUAUCCCAUUGUGUGUAGUGUGCAUUUUUAAAAUUUUAUGAAUGAUUGAAAUAAAAAAAAACUUAUGUGAAUUGUGAUCAAGGUGUCGUAAGAGACCUUGCCUAUGGAUGGAAUUCUCCGCCCAUAUUGUGUUUGAUUCGGGAACAACACAUGGUUGUAGUUCCUGAGCGAUGUCAUAGCGUUAUAGAGGAUUCACUUUUGUGAAUACAAGUCUACCGUUCUUAUUUGGAAGUACGGGCUGCCAGUUAAAGUUAUGGUAUGCCUUCCCCAUUCCAUAGUACUUCUGUUAGAGCGGUAUGUUUCUAUCUAGAAUGAGAUUGGCUAUCUAGUUACCGAGCUCAAUUAGGAUAUUAAAGAAAGAAGUCUGUUGAAGAGGGCCAGUUAUUGUUGGCCUACAAUGGUAUACUACUAAGUGUUUGAGUAUCACUCAAAUUAGUCUGGCCUGUUGAAGAAUUUUUGGGAAAAGGUGAAGAAGUGUACUCUAGUAACUUGAUCGUUUAAAAAGUGGAAGAUGAAAAGGAGCAGAGUAGAAGACAGUAUGAUAAUUAGGGAAGAUGAAGAUGUGUUUAAGGCAUUGAAAGGAUGGUCGACAUCUAAAAAAGUAACAUGUUCAGUAUUCUAGUUGAACAUGAAUUCACUGCAAUAGCCUAGGGAUUUCACCAAGUUGUUCUUGUCGAGUUCUAGUAGUAGUUAGAAGAUUAUGAAGAGCAUUUCAGAUAGAUCGGAAGUGUAAAGAAUACUGUAAGUGAAAUCAUUCUUGGAAUGGGUGAGUGUGUUUAUUUGAGAGUAGCACCCCUGGUCUGAAUCAUGUUGGCGUGAUUAAUCGUGCAUGUUCUUGUUUGAUUGUUGCACGGUUAAUCAAGUUAAUAUUGACUAGACUAGAGAUGUUACAUUCACGUAUGGCAAAUCACGUCACGUUCCAAAUUUCAUGUUGUUGUUAUGGGGGAGAGCGAGAUAGAAAAGGUUGAGAAGUAAUAGUCUACAGAUACAAGAUUGUUAGAAAAAGUAUGUAGACCGCAGUUGACAAGAAUUGUGCAGAGUAAAGAAUUUGGUUAUCUUGAAAGUGGCUGCUCAGAAAAGAAAGGAUCGGUUGGGGGAAUCAAGGGAUCGACCAUGAGUUGUUUUGAUAUUGGCAGAUUAAGAUAAGGUCAGAUCUAAUAUCCAGAACUCCUUUCAGAGACUGUUCAGUGAAGAGUGUACAGCUACGUUUAAGAAUUCGGGGACGAAUUCUUUUGAGGGGGGGAGAAUGUAAUAACCCUCACGAGCAGAUAGAAUUUUGGUAGAGAAAAUUCUUUAAGAUCAGUUUGAAGAUUGAUCGAUCAGAAUUUAAAUAAAAAUCGACACGGUGAAUUAACCUCUCGACGGGCUGUCUUUUGGUCGAAAAACCAUCUCUUGAUGAUUCUGGUCGAGUGUUAAUUACUAUUGUCGAUUUUUAUUCAUGCAAGGUGAGUUUAUUCAGAGCAGGACGAGAUUCGAAUGAUGAAAAAUAUUUAGUCGAAAUAGUCAGAAAAAUAUCAACAAAACUCUGAAAAUUAUUUCUGAACAGUUACAUGCCUUGCACCUUCUAGCCUACUUGCUUUCUCAGUAAUUAGGUUACAUGACAUGCACCUACUUGCUUACCUGCUUGCUCAUUAGAAGUCACAUGCUGGUCACAAGCUGUUUGCUUCAGCUGCUUGCAGCUUUCUUCUUGUAAGGGAAAGGUGAGCUGCUUGUGCUGAAGCUGGUUGCCACAUGUUUCUCCAAACUGCCACUUUGUGUAAAGAGAAAACCAUGAACUGAAGCAACCCCAUAUGGUAUAAAACAUCUUCUUCUCUCCUCUGGACGUCCUGUUACUGCAAGAAAAACAAGAGAAAAUUCAGAGAGAAAGAGAGAAAAAUCUGUGAGAAAAAUUAGUUGAAAAAUUGAGAAAAAAAUCAGGGAAGAGAAGUGAGCUUGGACGAACCUUUCUCACCAUCCUCUGACUUUAAUCAGUGUGUUGUGGUGGUUAAGAGCUGAAGGUUUGGUGUUCAAGAGUUUAGAAUCACCCAAGUUCUUUAGCUUUGGAUUUUAUCGGUAAGAACAUAUGGGUUUUAUGAGAUCAGUUUUGCUUGAGCUUCAGUUCUUGUUAGGUAACCAAAACGAUUUGGUCUGUUUCUGAUCUUGAACCUAUCAUGGGUAUCUUGUCCUGAUCAGGUUAGACGUGUGUUCAGAUUGAAGUUUAUAUCAACCAAUUUCAUCUUAAAGCUUAAGGAAAUCGGUAAGCCAUAGCUACUAGUUCAGAGAAGUUUUGUUUGGAACAAGUGGAAUGAUUUGUUAAGCUUCCUGUCCAGAUUAGUUUUUAAACCUGUAUGUGGAUUGAUCUUGGUUCAGUUAUGUCCCUUAGAUAAUUUUUUAAAGGCUUAGCUGAACUGAAUUAUCCUUUAACCGAACUGAACUGCUUUGAACUAAGCUGAGUAGAGUUUCUGUUGGAAUCAACCUGACUGAUCUUGUAUCCACACAUUCUGAAUCAGGAGUGAAAUGGGGUGUUAUUUCUUGGCCAAUCUCAUGGAAUCAAAGGUGAGUCUAGAUAGAUGAUUGAUGAGUAGUGAAUGAAUAUUUCUUGAUUGAACGUACUGAUUGUAGAUGAUUGAUAGGCUUUGUCUCUUGAUCAAUAUUAAAUUGGUAAGUUGUUUACUUAGUGUAAACACUUAUUAAAUAUUUAUGAACCCGCCAUUCACUCAUACUUAUAAAGACUUCCCCACUGAAGCGAGAAGUCCAUUCUCCAAUUGCACAUGACCUUAUGGCAAUCGAGAGUGGCUCGGUACUUUCCCAACCAAUCCAUACCUAAGAUCACUUCUUGAUUCUUUACGUGGACACAGACCAGAUUCACAGGGAAGACCUUUCCCUGGAUCUGUACUGGGAUAUUCGACAUGAGACGUAGUGAGUUCAUGGCUUGCCCACAGGCCUCCCUCACUAUCCCAAAAUUAUCACCAGCAUCCAGACAGAACAGACCGUUUCCGACCAGUCCCGGACUCACAAAACUAUGUGUAGCCCCUGUGUCGAAAAGCACGUGGGUUUUUACCCCACCGACCAUGAGGGUUCCAGAGGUCAAAUCAAAAGAUCCGGAAGCUCCGUUGUCUCGUGACCUUUGGAACUCGUGACCUUUGGUAACUCACAACCCUUGGUAACUCGUGACCUUUGGCCACUCGUGUAAUAACGCUCACAAGCAUAUACUCCCUCCGUUUUUUAAUAUAAGUCGUUUUACAGCUAUGCACGUAGAUUAAGAAAGCCAUUAAUUUCUUAUAUUUUCUAAACAAAAACAUCACUAAUUAUUUACCUAACCACAAUUCAACCAAUAGAAAAAUAUAAAAUAUAUUACCAUUGGUCAUACAACAUUAAUUAUUAAUAAAUUUUACAUAGAAAACCGAAAACAACAUAUAAUUUGGAACAAAAAAGUUUCUCUAAAACGACUUAUAAUAAAAAACGGAGGGAGUAUAAUUUUGGUCGAGAAAAAUCCCGCUCAACCAGUUUGGAGUUGGUUCGACCAGAAUUAAAAAUAAAAAUCGACCCGGUGAAUUAUUCUUGAUGGGACUGUCUCGAGGCCAAAGUACCUACUCUUAAUAGUUCUGACCAAGUGUUAACUAUUAUGGUCGAGUUUUAUCUAAGCUGGACGAGAACCGAUGGACGGGAAACAUUUUAUCGAAAACUGGUCUUGAAUACUUUCAGCUGCUUGCGAGUCAUGUGCAUGUCAUGUGCUGCCUGGCUGCUUGCUUCCUUCCUGACCUGAACAUGUGACUUGCACCUUCCAGCUUGCUUGCUACAUUAAAGUCAUGUUAGUUGCACACCUGCUUGAAGUUUCUUCAUGGAAAGGAAAUGACAUUACUUCAUGGGAAGGAAAGUGUGAUUCAGCCCACCACAUGUCUCAUACUAAUCUGAAACUUUUGUCCUUUGUUGCUGACUCUUCUCCUGCUGUUUCCCCUGUCAUUUAUUACCUUGUCCUCUUCCUGGUCGAGCUCAUUCAUCUCAGAAACAAGAAAGAAAAAUUCAGAGAGAAAGAGAGAAAGAAAGAGAGAAAAAUCUGUGAGGAAAAUACAUGAAAAAUUCAGAAAACAAUAAGAGAAGAGAAGUGAGCUUGGACGACCCUUUCUCCCCCUCUUCUGACUUUAAUCAGUGAGUAUUGGUGUAGUUAAGGGCUGAAUAUUUGGUGUCCUGAAGUUCAGAAUCACCCAUGUUCUUCAGCCUUUGGUUUUGAUCGGUAAGAUGUAUUUUGAUCAGUUUUCAGUGAGAAGUCCUGUUGGUUUGGAAACGCUUGAGGCUUUGUCUGAAUGAAUCCGACCUUGACUUGAUAUGGCACUUAUCAGGUUAGGAGUGGCUUCAACGAUAUGUUGUGUACCAUCUGAAUUCAGAAGAUUGUUGAUUUAAAUCGGUAAGAGCUUAUGGGUUUGAUGAGAUCCGUUUUUGUUAAGCUUCAGUCUCUUGUUUCAGUUCUGUUUGAUGAUAACAAAGUGAUGUGUCUUGAUAAACCUAUCAGGAACAGUUGUCUAAAUUCAUAUAUGGUUCACUCUUGGUUGGUGUAUGAUUGAAUUUGUAUCAUAGAACCAGUAGCUGAACUUAUGUGAAUUGUCUGAAUCAAACCGAACUGAUUUGAUCUUGUCCUCAACUGAUCUGAGCCGAGCUGUGUAUGGUCUGAACUUGUCAUCUACUAAUAUAGUCUGAGUUUAACUGAAUUUUUAGGACCAGAGCUGAACUUGUCUUGUACCAAACUGAUACUAGCGGAACUAAACUGAAACGUUAUGAGCUGAGAUGAGUUUCUUCUUGAACAGGAAUGAUGAACCUUAAGUUCCAACAAUUUUGUUUUGUUCAGUUACCCGAGGAGAUUGGAAUGGUCAGCCCGAUCAUGCCUUGCCUUUAAUUUUAAUCUGGAAGUGAAGAAGAAGUGGAGUGUGAUUAGCUUGAGCUCGAGUCUAGUCUUGAUUAGCCAAUCUCAAAGAAUCAAAGGUGAGUCUAGAUAGAUGAUUGAUGAGUAGUGAAUGAAUAUUUCUUGAUUGAACGCACUGAUUGUAGAUGAUUGAUAGGCUAUGUCUCUUGAUCAAUAUUGAAUUGGUGAGGUGUUUACUUAGUGUAAACACUUAUUAAAUAUUUAUGAAUGAUUAUAGAGGUUUAUUCCAAACCUUAGUACUUGUUCUCAAGUACUAAUACAUAUGUAUAGUAUUAAAUAUAAUUAAUUAUGGAAGUAUUAAUCAUGUGAAGUCUUAUUAUAAACCUGUCUUCCAAAAUAUUCCCGUAUGAAUGAUGAUUACUGUGAAUUGGUCAUGCGAUAUGGAACAAGGUCACGAAGACACGAUGAUGGGGUCGCACCCUGGAGGCCGUGUAACUGCAUGAAGCGUUAGAUGUUCAAUUUUUAAAUAUCUGAUGGCGAUGAUGGUGAUUCUAACUCGCUAGACUCGUUUAGCCUUUGGGGUUUCUCGGGUCUGGUAUAUAUAUAUAUAUAUAUAUAUAUAUAUAUAUAAUUAUAUGAAUGAUACGAGAGACGGGAAUAUGAAGUGAGGUAUAUGAUUAGAUUCACAAUGAUGGAAGGAUAGUCCUUAUAUAUAAAUAUCUAGAUAUGGAAUAUAUUUCCACUGCAUACAAAUGAAGUUGAUUGCUUGAGAUAUUAUUAAUAUAUGUUGGGGUGUGGGACUAGGCUCACUGAGUAAACUAGUUAAUCAUGACUCAUUUGUGAUGCAGGUAACCAAUAGGCGGGAGACCUUACUCUAGGACGGAAAGGAACAUCAUUAGCCAGCGGUAGUUUUAUUAUCCUUGCAAAGUCGUUUUGAUAUUUCUUAUGUAUAAGAUUUAUUGACCGAAAACCUCGAGGUUAAUUUAUAACAAAUUUUGUAAGAGGCUUUUAUUUAAAUGAAGAAUGUUUUUUUUAAGUACGGGUUCCAUAUGAUAUUAGUCCUUGUCCGGACGAACUAACUAUUGGGUAUUGCUUCUUCGGGUUGAAAGCCUAGAGUGAUAUCUGAUAGGAGUGUUGGUGUUCUUUGGUUGUUGAUCUAAGGCGAUUGGAAGUAUUCUGAGAACCUCAGAUCGAUCAUCGAGGAACAUCGACCAUGUCAUUUCUGGUCAUCUACGAUCGGGGGUGUCCCAAAGGUGGUAUCAGAGCAUGGUUAUACGAUGCUAGAAUGGGACUUGUUUCAAAUGUUUUUCGAGUCAAAAUGAGUCACAAGGGUAACUAGGAUAUGCUGGCUUGUUCCUUUAUUUUAGGAUAGACAGUCAUGGGUAGUUACCUAACCGUGAUCUUUCAUAGCAGAAGCACCGAGACAAGAUUGAACGGGUGGACUGACCGUGACCUUGUCCUAACUAGACAAGCCAUAGGCUGAUCCAUAAGGAUCGGUCCUAACCUGUCCCGAAAGACACUGUUUGGAACAUGCACCCUUUGGCCAAUCAUGCCUCUUGGUCCUCGUACCUUUUGAUGUUCGUAACCUUUGGUAUCUCGUACCUUUUGGUCACUGACACCCUUUGGCAACUCACAACCUUUGGACACUCAUGACUCUUGACAACUCGUGCCCUUUGGGUCAUUCCCAACCGUUUGUCCUAACCGCCUAGUCUUGGUGCGAUCGGAUCAUCCGACUAACCGACCCGUGUCUAGGCUAGCGGUUUGAUUAUGUUCGGCCAAAACCUAGGGACGUGUCCCUUGGACUCAACCAACAAAACCUUUCGUGUUUAACCAGAGAGAAGAGAAGAGAAACGAAUUGAAAAAGAUAAGGAGAGCCGGAUGGGACUUAGGAACCGAGCAGAGCCGCGGUGCCUACGUCCUGUGGAUUAAGGCUUUAGGUAUGCUGUCAUGUUCGUUCUAAUGGGUGACCGUUUGGAGAUGUCUCAACAGUACUGGCACCUUAUGAGAAAUCCAUAAUCAACAGAAUCCUGUGGAGUGUUCGAGUGAUUUUGGCCCAUGUGGGUGUCCGUCAGCACACACAGGACAUCCGUGGCUGUCCGUUAGCACACACAGGACGUCCGUGGCUGUCCGUCAGCACACACUGGACGUCUGUGGCUGUCUGUGUGUGUCCGUGUGUGUCUGUGUGUGUCCGUCAGCACACACAAGACAUCUAUGGCUCUCCAUCAGCAAACACAGAACGUCUGUGGCUGUCCAUCAGCACACAUAUCAGCACGCUAGUCCUUGGACUCAGGACGCUGGCCCUUCCCAUGGACUGUUGGGUGAUUUUGGCCCAUGUGGGCUGUCUGUUCAGUAGACACAGGACAUCCGUGGGUGUCCGUCAGCACAGACAGGACGUCUGUGUGUGUACAUCAGUGCACACAAGACGUCCGUGGCAUUCUGUGGCUGUCCGUGUGUGUCCGUCAGCACACACAUGACGUCCGUGGCCGUCCAGAAGUACAUAUAUCAGCACGUUGGUCCUUGGACUCAGCACGCUGACCCUUCCCGUGGACUGUUCAGGUGAUUUUGGCCCAUGUGGGCUGUCUGUUCAGUACACACAGGACGUCCGUGGGUGGCUGCCAGCACACACAGGACGUCCGUGGCUAUCCGUGUGAGUCCGUGUGUGUCCGUCUGUGUCCGUCAGCACACACAGGACGUCUGUGGCUGUCCAUCAAUACACAUAUCAUCACGUUGGUCCUUUGACUCAGCACGCUGGCCCUUCCCGUGGACUGUUUGGGUGAUUUUGGCCCACGUGGGCUGUCUGUUCAGUACACACAGGACGUCCGUGGGUGUCUGCCAGCAUACACAGGACGUCUGUGGCUGUCCGUCAGCACACACAGGACGUCUGUGGCUGUCCGUCAGCACACACAGGACAUCUGUGGCUGUCCGUGUAUGUUCGGGUGUGUCCGUGUGUGUCAUUCAGCACACACAGGACAUCCAUGGCUGCCCAUCAGUACACAUAUCAGCACGUUGGUCCUUGGACUCAGCACGCUAACCCCUUCCGUGGACUGUUCGGGUGAUUUUGGCCCACGUGGGCUGUCUGUUCAGUACACACAGGACGUCCGUGGGUGUCCGCCAGCACACACAGGAUGUCCGUGGCUGUCCGUGUGAGUCCGUGUGUGUCCGUCAGCACACAUAUGACGUCUGUGGCUUUCCAUCAAUACGCAUAUCAUCACGUUGGUCCUUUGACUCAGCACGCUGACUCUUCCCGUGGACUGUUUGGGUGAUUUUGGCCCACGUGAGCUGUCUGUUCAGUACACACAGGACGUCUGUGGGUGUCUGCCAGCACACACAGGAUGUCUGUGGCUGUCCGUCAGCACACACAGCACGUCCGUGGCUGUCCGUCAGCACACACAGGACGUCCGUGUGUUUCCGUCAGUACACAGAGGACGUCAGUGUAAGUCCGUGUGUGUCUGUCAGCACACACAGAACGCCCGUGGCUUCCAUCAAUACACAUAUCAUCACGCUGGUCCUAGGACUCAGCACGCUGGCCCUAGGACUCAGCACGCUGGCCCUAGGACUCAGCACGCUGGCCCUUCCCGUGGACUGUUUGGGUGAUUUUCCCCACGUGGGCUGUCUGUUCAGUACACACAGGACGUCCGUGGGUGUCCGCCAGCACACACAGGACGUCCACGGGUGUCCGUCAGCACACACAGGACAUCCGUGGGUGUUCGUCAGCACACACAUGACAUCUGUGGCUGUCUGUGUGUAUCCGUGUGUGUCCGUCAGCACACAUAGGAAGUCCGUGGAUGUCCAUGAGUACACAUAUCAGCACGUUGGUCCUUGGACUCAGCACUCUGACCCUUCCCGUGGACUGUUCGGGUGAUUUUGGCCCACGUGGGCUGUCUGUUCAGUACACACAGGACGUCAGUGGGUGUCCGCCAGCACACACACAGGACGUCCGUGGCUGUCCGUGUGUGUACGUGUGUGUCCGUCUGUGUCCGUCAGCACACAAAGGACAUCCGUGGUUGUCCAUCAGUACACAUAUCAGCACGUUGGUCGUUGGACUCAGCACGCUGGCCCUUCCCGUGGACUGUUUGGGUGAUUUUGGCCCACGUGGGCUGUCUGUUCAGUACACACAGGACAUCUGUGGGUGUCCGCCAGCACACACAGGACGUCCGUGGCUGUCUGUGGCUUAUAUUCCAUAACCGAACAGCGAUGUAGAAAGCGUAGCCGUCAACAAUGGCUUAGAAAUAACAUAAAUAGGGUUUCUGGUCGUCCAAGGGCAUUUUGGUAAUUUGUGGCUUCUGAGCUUCACGCAGUCAUAAAAUAUACAAGGCCACGAUCUGGGAUCUCCAUCGAUCGACGUGCAGAGUGCUGCAUCGAUUGACGCGGCUUCCUCUUCUCGGCAGCUUCCUCUCGCGAGGCAGACUAACCACUCUUCAGUAAAACGGGCAUAACUUCUGCUACAGGAUGCUGUUGACCUGAAACCGGUGGCAUUGGAAAGCUAACUCAAAUCUCUAUCUUGUGUCAAAAUAUGGGCUCAAUAUAACGGUCGGAAGGUCUCCAUCCAUAGCUAAACAUCUGACGCGUCUGUGCAACUCUGCAGCUCCAAAGGCUCCAAAAGACUCCAAAUCACCAUAUUUCUCCUAAACGUCCCUGAACCUGUAAAUACUCUAAAUAGACUCCAAAACAUAAUAAUUUUAUCUUAAAACACUUUAAAACACUUAUAGAUAAUGAUUAAAAAUGAGUAAAAUAUAUGGUCAAUCAACUCCCCCAGACUUACCCUUUUGCUUGUCCUCAAGCAAAACAGACGGCCAGUCUCUCUGAAAGAGGUUUUGAAAACAGCAGGGACUCACAUGAUUUAAAACUUAGAAUCAUCGCCUCUACAAUAUUGCAGUCCACAUCUAAGAAGUCCUAAUCACAGAAGCACAUUAUACAAUAUCCUAGCUUAGCAACCAAAUUCACCUAACCAACUUCUUAGCAAAUCAUGUCUGACAUUCCCCUCUACCAACCUCAUUUCUUAACAUAAAUAAAUGUGUAUGCUUUACCUUGGGAGUAUCGAUCACAAGACACAUGGACUCUUACCCCAACAUGUAUCUGAGUAAACAGGUAGUCUUGUUCUGGUUUCUUUUACUCUAUAUCUCCCUUCUCUGAAUCCUUUUUAUCUCAAUUCCAAUGAACAAAGAUGCUGAUGCAGUUCAUCUUAUUCACCUUCUUUUUCGAUUUUUUUUGUUAUUAUUAUUUUUUUUCUUUUCUUGACAAAGUGUAGGCGAAUAGUGGGAUCAUCGGUAAUGUACCUACCCCUCGCUUCCAACAAUGUGUGAUCAUUCUAUUAGAGUAGAAUAAUGGGGUCAUCGGUAAUGUACCUACUCCUCUAAACUGCAAGAAAUCAUCUCAAUCUUUUAUUUUAUUUUAUUAGGAUGCCAAAGGGAGGAGAGAAGGAAACCAAAAUCACUCAGACUUUUACUUUUCAGACCUGAAGGAGGAAUCCGAUCCAGUGUAUACCAAGCCCCAAGACAAGCAGUUAAGUCAAAUUAGGUUGGAGGUCAGCUUCGGUUCCUUCAAACACUCUCAGCAAGUGCAAACAUAGUUGACAUGUUGAUCCACUUUAGUACUAUCUGCAAUCAGUAAGUCUAGAAUGGUGCUAAAGAGUGGUUAGAUAACAAGUAUGAAUCUAAUAAGUUCAUUAUCCCCUUCUUGACUCA
rnacentral:lncRNA from 1 species